AGAAGCUAAGAAAGGGCGUACGGAGGAUGCCUAGGUAGUAAAAGCCGAAGAAGGACGUGAUAAGCUGCGAAAAGCUUGGUGUAGUUGCACAUGAACGAAAAAGCCAAGAUGUCCGAAUGGGAGAACCCGUAUAUUAGAAGAAUAUACACGAAAGAGGUAAGCCUGUGAACUGAAACAUCUAAGUAACAGGAGGAAAAGAAAGUAAAAACGAUUUUCUAAGUAGCGGCGAGCGAACGGGAAAGAGCCUAAACCAUAGUGGUGUAAGUUGGCACGUUGCCAUUAUGGGGUAGAGGGGAUAACAAGAUACUAAUAGCCAUAAAGUAUAAAUAACUAAGCUGUAAGAAGAACAUAGUUGGAAAGCUAGACCGAAGAAGGUGAUAGUCCUGUAGAUUGUAAAAGUAAAAGUUAUUAAGUUAUACCCCGAGUAGCAUCAAGCACGAGGAAUUUGGUGUGAAUCAGUGAGGACCAUAUCUCAUAAGGCUAAAUACUUUUACUAACCGAUAGUGUAGAGUACCGUGAGGGAAAGGUGAAAAGAACCCCGAGAAGGGGAGUGAAAUAGAAUUUGAAACCGUACGCUUACAAGCGGUAGGAGCAGGGUAACCUGUAACUGCGUGGAUUUUGGUUAAUCAUCCUGCGAGUUAUGAUGUGUGGCGAGGUUAAGUAAAAGCGGAGCCGAAGGGAAACCGAGUCUUAAUAGGGCGACGAGUCGCAUGUCAUAGACGCGAAACCUAGUGAUCUAGGCCUGUCCAGGCUGAAGCUGAGGUAAGACUCAGUGGAGGGCCGAACUCACCGCCGUUGAAAAGUUGGGAGAUGAGAUAGGUCUAGGGGUGAAAAGCCAAUCGAACUAGGAGAUAGCUCGUUCUCUCCGAAAUGCAUUUAGGUGCAGCCUUAAUCUAAUAUAUGUGGGGGUAGAGCACUGUAUGACCUAGGGGGCGUAUAGCUUACUGAAGUCAAGCAAACUACGAAUACCAUAUAUAAAUAAUUAGGAGUGAGUCUAUGGAUGACAAGGUCCAUAGACGAGAGGGAAAAAGCCCAGAACAACAGCUAAGGUCCCCAAUUAUGUCUAAGUGGGAAAGGAGGUGGAUAUUCAAAGACAACCAGGAGGUUGGCUUAGAAGCAGCCAUACCUUAAAAGAGUGCGUAAUAGCUCACUGGUCGAGAGUAUCUGCGCCGAAGAUUUAACGGGGCUAAGACAUAAACCGAAGCUUUGUAAUAUGAUGAAUAUCAUGUUGGUAGGAGAGCGUUCUGUAAGCCGUAGAAGGAGGAUUGAAAGAGAAUCUGGAGGUAUCAGAAGUGAGAAUGCAGGAAUGAGUAGCGAGAAAGUGGGCGAGAAUCCCACUGACCGGAAGUCCAAGGAUUCCAGGGGAAGGUUUGUCCGCCCUGGGGGAGUCGGGACCUAAGGAUAAACAGAAAUGUGAAGCCGAAUGGAAAAUAGGUAAAUAUUCCUAUACCACUCAAUUAACGUUUGAAGGAAUGGAGUAACGCAGGAAGGUAUGUAAGAAGACUGACGGAAUAGUCUUUCUAAGGAGAAAGCAUGGAUAUAUAGGCAAAACCGUAUAUCUAAAUGUGAGAACUGAUGGGUAAGCAUAUGUAGCGUAUGUAAGUUACAAAUCCUAUACUGCCGAGAAAAACUUCUACCAAGGAGAUUGAGUGCCCGUACCGUAAACCGACACAGGUGGACAGGGUGAGAAACCUAAGGUCGACAGGCUAACUCUAGCUAAGGAACUCUGCAAAAUAGCCCCGUAACUUCGGGAGAAGGGGUACCUAUGAAAGUGAGUAAAGAGACAUUACAAGCAAGAGUAGGUCGCAGUGAAGAGUCCCAAGCAACUGUUUACCAAAAACACAGGUCUAUGCUAAGCUGAAAGGCGACGUAUAUGGGCUGACACCUGCCCAGUGCCGGAAGGUUAAGAGGAGGGUUGAGAGACUCAAAUUGAAGCCCCGGUGAACGGCGGCCGUAACUAUAACGGUCCUAAGGUAGCGAAAUUCCUUGUCGGGU
rnacentral:rRNA from 1 species